CCUACGGGAGGCAGCAGUAGGGAAUCUUCCACAAUGGGCGAAAGCCUGAUGGAGCAACGCCGCGUGGGUGAAGAAGGUCUUCGGAGCGUAAAACCCUGUUGUUAGAGAAGAAAGUGCGUGAGAGUAACUGUUCACGUUUCGACGGUAUCUAACCAGAAAGCCACGGCUAACUACGUGCCAGCAGCCGCGGUAAUACGUAGGUGGCAAGCGUUAUCCGGAUUGAUUGGGCGUAAAGGGAACGCAGGCGGUCUUUUAAGUGUGAUGUGAAAGCCUUCGGCUUAACCGGAGUAGUGCAUUGGAAACUGGGAGACUUGAGUGCAGAAGAGGAGAGUGGAACGCCAUGUGUAGCGGUGAAAUGCGUAGAUAUAUGGAAGAACACCAGUGGCGAAAGCGGCUCUCUGGUCUGUAACUGACGCUGAGGUUCGAAAGCGUGGGUAGCAAACAGGAUUAGAUACCCGAGUAGUC
rnacentral:rRNA from 1 species